AUUGAACGCUGGCGGCAGGCUUAACACAUGCAAGUCGAGCGGGGGAAGGUAGCUUGCUACUGGACCUAGCGGCGGACGGGUGAGUAAUGCUUAGGAAUCUGCCUAUUAGUGGGGGACAACAUCUCGACAGGGAUGCUAAUACCGCAUACGUCCUACGGGAGAAAGCAGGGGAUCUUCGGACCUUGCGCUAAUAGAUGAGCCUAAGUCGGAUUAGCUAGUUGGUGGGGUAAAGGCCUACCAAGGCGACGAUCUGUAGCGGGUCUGAGAGGAUGAUCCGCCACACUGGGACUGAGACACGGCCCAGACUCCUACGGGAGGCAGCAGUGGGGAAUAUUGGACAAUGGGGGGAACCCUGAUCCAGCCAUGCCGCGUGUGUGAAGAAGGCCUUAUGGUUGUAAAGCACUUUAAGCGAGGAGGAGGUUACUCUAGUUAAUACCUAGGGAUAGUGGACGUUACUCGCAGAAUAAGCACCGGCUAACUCUGUGCCAGCCGCCGCGGUAA
rnacentral:rRNA from 1 species